rnacentral:tRNA from 1 species
GGAGGCAUAACUCAGUGGUAGAGUAUGCUUAGCAUGAGCAAGGUCUUGGGUUCAAUUCCCAGCACCA